rnacentral:lncRNA from 1 species
UGGUUCAAAACUGGGUCAAAAUUAAUAUAAAAUGGUCAGAGCCCUACCCCAGCCCCCUCUUCGUCUCUCAGAAGCCCCAUUCACGAAUCCUAAUUCCCCACCACCCUCCACCGGCGGCAAAGUUGCAACUGCCUCCAAAAUUUCACCACAGCUUCGUCUCUUUCUCCCCAUCAUGAGUCCAUGACUAGUUCCCAUAAAAUCCUAACCAAAAACUUCAAAUAUGUCAAACCCUAGGCGCCGCCACCCAAACCAUACCAAAAUAGUACCCCCCCCCCCCNN